rnacentral:lncRNA from 1 species
ACCAGCUGCUCUCCACCAUCACGCCAUCUCUAGAUGCUCCUGGGUCCCAGCGAGUAGGCCCGACAGCCUGACUUUCCUCUGUUCACCGGAGUGGGAUUGAUGAAGCACAUCCUGAACUGCCCAGUCCCAGGGGCCUCGUGGGUUCUCCCGGGACCACAUUCAACGGCCCCGUGGACGCCUCCCACUCCUCAGAUGCAGAUGCAGAGAACUGUGAUCCUGCUGACCCAACUACCUAAGGAAUACAAGUGAAUGCUGCUGCUGCUCACGGGUCUUAAAGGACUGGAACUGGAGCCCAUUCCCACUCAUUCACUCGCUUGGUUUUCAGUGGACAAUUCUGGGACCUCUCCUCUGGACAGCUGGCGUCCCACUGGAAUUUCCUAUCCUCCAUGUAAUAAAACUGUCACCAAGCUCAUGAAAAAUGAUCAGGAGCGCUUAUUAGAGGCAGAUUCAUGCUGCUUCCGAUGACCCCUCCCCACGUGGGGCUCCCUCCCCCGCUCCAUCCCUUCCUCCCCGGAACUGCCCCUCCGGGUCGGGAGCCCUCUGGGAUUCAGGGUUUUCCGUAUAAGGCUUCAGACCCCGGUUUCCUUCGUCCGAAAUUCACCAAGGAUACGUGCAGAGAUGCAGACGCAGUCCCAGGUUCCUGGGCGCCCAGCCCUUGGAGCGGAAGGAAAUCAGUGAGUUUCAGCAUGGGGGAGCGGGGGAGCCUUUCUGAGGGGUCCUCUUUACCCGUUCCUAGUCCGGGCUUCCCUGCUCCCCCAGCACCAGCUCCGGGCCCGCAGCAGAGGGUGGUGACCCCGAGCAGGAGUAUUCCCUGCUUCACCUCCAGGAGCCAGCGAAACGUCUGUGGGAGCGACGCGUUCCAGCUGAUCCUUGAGGAAAGGAAAUUCCUGCAGCUGGAAACAGCAGAGAUCUGGGGGCGGGGGCGCUGGAGCGAGAAGCCUGCCCGCCUCCUGGCAGAAGCCCGAAGAGGCCUGGAAACCCUAGUUUCCCGAGGACCCCAUGCCGCCUUCCCCGACGCCAGGAGCCACCGUCUCUCGGGGUCAGUGUGCACCUAUACCUGGGGCUUCGGACAAAGGCUGGCUGCUCUGAUGCCAAGGACUUCAUGUCGACAACCGUGAGGAGAACCAGAAGGGGAGGAUCACAGUUCUGAGCCUGGCCACGCUGUUUGGAU